UAGGGAAUCUUCCGCAAUGGACGAAAGUCUGACGGAGCAACGCCGCGUGAGUGAAGAAGGAUUUCGGUUCGUAAAACUCUGUUGUUAGGGAAGAAAAAAUGUAUAGUAACUAUAUACAAAAGAGACGGUACCUAACCAGAAAGCCACGGCUAACUACGUGCCAGCAGCCGCGGUAAUACGUAGGUGGCAAGCGUUGUCCGGAAUUAUUGGGCGUAAAGCGCGCGCAGGUGGUUUAGAAAGUCUGAUGUGAAAGCCCACGGCUCAACCGUGGAGGGUCAUUGGAAACUAAUAAACUUGAGUGCAGGAGAGAAAAAUGGAAUUCCUAGUGUAGCGGUGAAAUGCGUAGAGAUUAGGAGGAACACCGGUGGCGAAAGCGGCUUUUUGGCCUGCAACUGACACUGAGGCGCGAAAGCGUGGGGAGCAAACAGG
rnacentral:rRNA from 1 species